GGGGCGGUAGCUCAGUUGGUAGAGCAUCGCGUUCGCAACGCGGGGGUCGGGAGUUCGAAUCUCCUCCGCUCCACCA
rnacentral:tRNA from 2 species